rnacentral:rRNA from 1 species
UACGUAGGGCGCAAGCGUUGUCCGGAAUUAUUGGGCGUAAAGAGCUCGUAGGCGGUCUGCUGCGUCCGCUGUGAAAACUCGGGGCUUAACCCCGAGCCUGCAGUGGAUACGGGCAGACUAGAGGUAGGUAGGGGAGAAUGGAAUUCCCGGUGUAGCGGUGAAAUGCGCAGAUAUCGGGAGGAACACCGGUGGCGAAGGCGGUUCUCUGGGCCUUACCUGACGCUGAGGAGCGAAAGCGUGGGGAGCGAAUGGG